rnacentral:rRNA from 1 species
GACGAACGCUGGCGGCGUGCUUAACACAUGCAAGUCGAACGGAAAGGCCCUGCUUUUGUGGGGUGCUCGAGUGGCGAACGGGUGAGUAACACGUGAGUAACCUGCCCUUGACUUUGGGAUAACUUCAGGAAACUGGGGCUAAUACCGGAUAGGAGCCCCUGCUGCAUGGUGGGGGUUGGAAAGUUUCGGCGGUUGGGGAUGGACUCGCGGCUUAUCAGCUUGUUGGUGGGGUAGUGGCUUACCAAGGCUUUGACGGGUAGCCGGCCUGAGAGGGUGACCGGCCACAUUGGGACUGAGAUACGGCCCAGACUCCUACGGAAGGCAGCAGUGGGGAAUAUUGCACAAUGGGCGGAAGCCUGAUGCAGCAACGCCGCGUGCGGGAUGACGGCCUUCGGGUUGUAAACCGCUUUCGCCUGUGACGAAGCGUGAGUGACGGUAAUGGGUAAAGAAGCACCGGCUAACUACGUG